rnacentral:rRNA from 1 species
CUACGGGGGGCAGCAGUGAGGAAUAUUGCGCAAUGGGGGAAACCCUGACGCAGCGACGCCGCGUGGAUGAUGAAGGCCUUCGGGUCGUAAAAUCCUGUCAGAUGGGAAGAAAUGUUUAUAUGCUAAUAUCAUAUAGAUUUGACGGUACCAUCAAAGGAAGCACCGGCUAACUCCGUGCCAGCAGCCGCGGUAAUACGGAGGGUGCGUGCGUUGUUCGGAAUUACUGGGCGUAAAGCGCGCGUAGGCGGUUAUUUAAGUCAGAUGUGAAAGCCCAUGGCUCAACCAUGGACGUGCAUUUGAUACUGAGUAACUUGAGUACUGGAGGGGGUGGUGGAAUUCCCGGUGUAGAGGUGAAAUUCGUAGAUAUCGGGAGGAAUACCGGUGGCGAAGGCGACCACCUGGCCAGAUACUGACGCUGAGGUGCGAAAGCGUGGGGAGCAAACAGGAUUAGAUACCCUUGUAGUC